rnacentral:tRNA from 1 species
AAAAAAUUAGUUAAAUAAAUAACCUUAGUUUGUCAAACUAAAAUUAUCAUAUAAUUGAUAUUUUUUA